rnacentral:lncRNA from 1 species
UUAUUGCCCUUUAUACAUAGAUGCCAACCAUUACGAUUUUUCCGUAGUUUUUCCGAUUUUGCGAUAAAAACUACGCUAUUACGGUCAAAGUCGAAUAGUUACGGAUUCCCAAUCAUCGACGUUCAAUUUUGUAAAACACGGAUUUUUAUCAUUACUUUUCCGUCCUGGUCCAGUAUUUAGGAAACGCCAAUGUAAUGCUUCCGGUUUCUCGGGAGUUAUCAACCUAUUGUUGG